rnacentral:rRNA from 1 species
UACGAAGGGGGCUAGCGUUGUUCGGAAUUACUGGGCGUAAAGGGCGCGCAGGCGGCUGCUCAAGUCAGGCGUGAAAGGCCUGGGCUCAACCCGGGAAUUGCGCUUGAGACUGGGCUGGCUUGAGUGCGGGAGAGGAUGGUGGAAUUCCCAGUGUAGAGGUGAAAUUCGUAGAUAUUGGGAGGAACACCGGUGGCGAAGGCGGCCCCCUGGACCGGUACUGACGCUGAGGCGCGAAAGCGUGGGUAGCAAACGGG